rnacentral:tRNA from 1 species
CGCGGGAUAACAAAGGGUUACAGCGCAACUGCUUGAUUUUAAAGGAAUCUAAUAAAAUCAAUAACAUAGCCUCAUAACCUGAAGGUCGUAGGUUCAAAUCCUACUCCCGCAACCA